CUAAUAUAGAUAGCGUUCUAAAAACAGCUGAUACAAUUCGCAUAUAAUUUUGUAGUUUGAAUUUAGUUUGAUUAUUUGUUGGUUAAUUUGUUGUUUGUAAUAUCUUAAUUUUUAUUAAUAACUUUUAUAGUGUAAUAAUGACUCUUUCAAAUAUAUCAGGAAUACCAGAUAAACAUUGGCAACCUCCCUUUGUGGCUUUUGAGACAACUAUGGGUGAAAUAAUCAUUGAAUUAUAUUGGAAACAUGCACCUAUAACGUGUAGAAAUUUUGCUGAAUUGACACGUCGUGGAUAUUACAAUGGUACAAAGUUUCAUAGAAUAAUUCGCGAUUUUAUGAUACAAGGUGGAGAUCCAACCGCUACAGGAAAAGGUGGUAUGUCUAUAUAUGGAGAUAGUUUUGAUGAUGAAAUUCAUGAUGAUUUGAAACAUACUGGUGCUGGGAUAUUAUCCAUGGCAAACUCUGGACCAGAUACAAAUGGAUCUCAAUUUUUUAUUACAUUAGCACCUACGCAAUGGUUGGAUGGAAAGCAUACUAUAUUUGGGCGAAUUCAUUCUGGUAUGGCAAUAGUAAAAAGAAUUGGUCUUGUUGAAACAGAUAAAAAUGAUAGGCCUAUCGAUGAUGUUAAAAUUGUUAAAGGAUCAGUGAGAAAUGCGUGAAUCUGUUGAAUGAAAGAUUUGUAUUAUAACCAGUUGAUUUAAUUAAUAAGAUAGUAGAAGCAGGAGAUUAAAGUAAAUAUGGAUCAACUGGAGAAACCAGGAUUAGUAUGUUCUAUAACACAUCGACGACAAUAACGUUUAACUGCGCGGUAUCCAACCCAAGUUACUCUAGGGCAUUCUCCGAUAUUUAACUGUCUCAAACCACGCACGUAAUAUGCUAAUGCUUCCAGUCCAGCAUCUGUGAUUCGUUCGCAACCACAAAGAGAGAGCUUUUUCAAAUUAGGACAGCCCGUGGAAAGAGCCUCGAGUGUGACAUCACCGAUAUCGCAUUUUCC